CUGGUGUCAGCCGCCGCGGUAAUACCAGCACCCCGAGUGGUCGGGACGUUUAUUGGGCCUAAAGCAUCCGUAGCCGGUUCUACAAGUCUUCCGUUAAAUCCAACUGCUUAACAGGUGGGCUGCGGAAGAUACUAUAGAGCUAGGAGGCGGGAGAGGCAAGCGGUACUCGAUGGGUAGGGGUAAAAUCCGUUGAUCCAUUGAAGACCACCAGUGGCGAAGGCGGCUUGCCAGAACGCGCUCGACGGUGAGGGAUGAAAGCUGGGGGAGCAAACCGGAUUAGAUACCCGGGUAGUCCCAGCUGUAAACGAUGCAGACUCGGUGAUGAGUUGGCUACAUGCCAUCUCAGUGCCGCAGGGAAGCCGUUAAGUUUGCCGCCUGGGGAGUACGGUCGCAAGACUGAAACUUAAAG
rnacentral:rRNA from 2 species